GCUUGCGGUCAUACUGCGAUGAAAAUGUCCAAUCUCGUCUGAUCUUGGAAAGGGCCAAAACAGUAUGGGGGGGCCACAAAUAGGCCAGCCUGCCGGUCACCUAUUGAGUACCGCUGGCC
rnacentral:rRNA from 1 species